UAUGUAAAAAAUGGCUUUAAGUUUCUCUUUACUAUUCCUAAUGGUCCUUUCCCCCGCACUCAUAAGUUCCAGUAAUACAAAGGAUUCCUGGAUAAUUCCUCGUUCUAACUCUAUCUCACAAACAGACAGAGAUUAUUUUAACAUAAUACAAACAGAAGAUGGAGUUUCACAGUAUUUUAUUCUUAAAGAGGUAAAAUUAUUUCAUAAC